rnacentral:misc_RNA from 1 species
UCUCUCUUGCAGUCUGCUUCAUCUUCCCAUGAAGAGGAAUCAAAGAGAAGCCCUUUAAAGCAGUAAGACGUGGAAGAAGAACACCCCAAUAAUCAACACACGCACAAGUCAUAAAGUAUAUUAUAAUCUUUUUUGACUUGUUCUUAAUAAGGAGAUCAACAAGCUGAGACGGUUUAUUAUCGCAUUCCAAAUACUCAAGUUGAAGGCCUGAAGGUGUUUUUGAAGAAGCUAAUUGCGAAGAUGCUGAUUCAUUCAGUGAUUUGGUUUCUGCUCGAACUUCAACCCUCACAGGAUUCCUCAGUCCAGCUUUGGCCAACUCUUCAACUGCCUCAGUUUGAGUAGCUGAGAAAAGACCAGUCCUGCGAAGCUUGGGUAAGUGAGAUAUAAUGGAAUUUAUCUGCUUUUGGAAUCCCAUAUCCAAGAGUCGAUCAGCCUCAUCCAAGAUUAAAACCUCAAGGUUUCGAAAGUCCAGGAAAUCCACACGUUCCAUGAUGUCAUAAAGCCUUCCAGGCGUUCCAAUCAAUAAAUUAGCUCCUUCCUCCUCUAUUUUCUUCAAAUCAGCUUUCACAUCCACCCCGCCAACAAGGAGAAUCGACUUAACAUUCGAUAAAGUUGCAAUGAAAGGU